CGGGUCGCUUGUUUUAUCAAAAACAUGUCUUUUUGUUUAAAAUAUAAAGUCUAACCUGCCCACUGAUAAUUAUUAAAGGGCCGCGGUAUUUUGACUGUGCAAAGGUAGCAUAAUCAUUUGUCUCUUAAUUGGAGGCUGGAAUGAAUGGUUGAAUGAAAUAUUAACUGUCUCAUUUUUAAAAUUAUAAAAAUUUAGCUUUUAAGUCAAAAGGCUUAAAUAUAUUUAGAGGACGAGAAGACCCUAUAGAUCUUUAUAAUUUAUUUAAUUUUAUAAAAUAGAUAAAUAAUAAAUAAAAUUAAUAUAAUUAUUUUAUUGGGGUGAUAGGAAAAUUUAAUAAACUUUUCAUAAUUUAUAAACAUUGAUUUAUGAUUAAUUGAUCCAUUUUUAGUGAUUAAAAGAUUAAGUUACCUUAGGGAUAACAGCGUAAUUUUUUUAAAGAGUUCUUAUCGAUAAAGAAGAUUGCGACCUCGAUGUUGAAUUAAAGGUUAUUUCUAGAUGUAGCAGUUUAGAGUUUAGGUCUGUUCGACCUUUGAAUCUUUACAUGAUCUGAGUUCAAACCGGA
rnacentral:rRNA from 1 species